rnacentral:Y_RNA from 1 species
GGCUGGUCUGAAAGCAGUGGUAUUUACAACUAAUUGAUCACAACCAUUUACAGUUCCUUUGUUAUUUCUCUACUCCCACUGCUUCACUUGACUAGCCAUAA